rnacentral:rRNA from 1 species
GACGCACCGAGCGAACGUUGUUCGGAAUCACUGGGCUUCAAGGGCGCGUAGGCGGGUGUAAACGUCUGCGGUGAACUCCUCCAGCUUAACUGGAGAAGUGCCGUGGAUACUGUACGUCUUGAGGAGGGUAGGGGCAUCUGGAACGGUCGGUGGAGCGGUGAAAUGCGUUGAUAUCGACCGGAACUCCGGUGGCGAAGGCGAGGUGCGGGACCCUUUCUGACGCUGAGGCGCGAAAGCUAGGGGAGCAAACGGG